rnacentral:rRNA from 1 species
GAUGAACGCUGGCGGCGUGCCUAAUACAUGCAAGUCGAGCGAACUGAUUAGAAGCUUGCUUCUAUGACGUUAGCGGCGGACGGGUGAGUAACACGUGGGCAACCUGCCUGUAAGACUGGGAUAACUUCGGGAAACCGAAGCUAAUACCGGAUAGGAUCUUCUCCUUCAUGGGAGAUGAUUGAAAGAUGGUUUCGGCUAUCACUUACAGAUGGGCCCGCGGUGCAUUAGCUAGUUGGUGAGGUAACGGCUCACCAAGGCAACGAUGCAUAGCCGACCUGAUAGGGUGAUCGGCCACACUGGGACUGAGACACGGCCCAGACUCCUACGGGAGGCAGCAGUAGGGAAUCUUCCGCAAUGGACGAAAGUCUGACGGAGCAACGCCGCGUGAGUGAUGAAGGCUUUCGGGUCGUAAAACUCUGUUGUUAGGGAAGAACAAGUACAAGAGUAACUGCUUGUGCCUUGACGGUACCUAACCAGAAAGCCACGGCUAACUACGUGCCAGCCGCCGCGGUAAUAC